rnacentral:rRNA from 1 species
UUGACCUCGGAUCAGGUAGGGAUACCCGCUGAACUUAAGCAUAUCAAUAAGCGGAGGAAAAGAAACCAACAGGGAUUGCCUUAGUAACGGCGAGUGAAGCGGCAAUAGCUCAAAUUUGAAAGCUGGCGUCUUCGACGUCCGCGUUGUAAUUUGUAGAGGAUGCUUCGGCGAGGACUCCUGCCUAAGUCCCCUGGAACGGGGCGUCACAGAGGGUGAGAAUCCCGUAUGUGGCGGGCGGUCCAAGCCAUGUGAAGCUCCUUCGACGAGUCGAGUUGUUUGGGAAUGCAGCUCUAAAUGGGAGGUAAAUUUCUUCUAAAGCUAAAUAUUGGCCAGAGACCGAUAGCGCACAAGUAGAGUGAUCGAAAGAUGAAAAGCACUUUGGAAAGAGAGUUAAAAAGUACGUGAAAUUGUUGAAAGGGAAGCGCUUGCAACCAGACUCGCUCGCAGUUGCUCAGCCGGCCUCUUGGCCGGUGUACUCUUCUGCGAUCGGGCCAGCAUCAGUUCGGGCGGCUGGAUAAAGGUGUCGGGAAUGUAGCACCCUUCGGGGUGUGUUAUAGCCCGGCGCGGAAUGCGGCCAGCCUGGACUGAGGAUCUCGCUUCGGCAAGGAUGCUGGCGUAAUGGUUGUAAGCGGCCCGUCU